UGAAGCAGCUUAUCUUCUUCAAAGAUAUCAACUGGGACGCUUUGGCCAGGCAGAGGGCUGCAUUUACAAAAGUUUCCUAUUUUGUAAUUGCUCUUUUGUUAUCCGCAAAUUCUAAUGCCCGAGAAGGACGGGUUAUGAUUUUCAAUCUGGUGGAGGCUGCUCAAGAAUUCCUGUCUGAAAUUGUUCCAGUGGGCCAGUCUAAUGAAUCUGUGAUGUUGCUGCCCUAGGUUGGUGGGAUUUGUUUAUAAAUUUUGGGCAAAAUUUAGCGGUCUUUAUAGCAAUGUUUGAUGAUUGGAGUUAUCUUUUUGUGUCUAUAUGAGUGUUGGA